GUGGGGAAUAUUGGACAAUGGGGGGAACCCUGAUCCAGCCAUGCCGCGUGUGUGAAGAAGGCCUUUUGGUUGUAAAGCACUUUAAGCGAGGAGGAGGCUACCGAGAUUAAUACUCUUGGAUAGUGGACGUUACUCGCAGAAUAAGCACCGGCUAACUCUGUGCCAGCAGCCGCGGUAAUACAGAGGGUGCAAGCGUUAAUCGGAUUUACUGGGCGUAAAGCGCGAGUAGGUGGCCAAUUAAGUCAAAUGUGAAAUCCCCGAGCUUAACUUGGGAAUUGCAUUCGAUACUGGUUGGCUAGAGUAUGGGAGAGGAUGGUAGAAUUCCAGGUGUAGCGGUGAAAUGCGUAGAGAUCUGGAGGAAUACCGAUGGCGAAGGCAGCCAUCUGACCUAAUACUGACACUGAGGUGCGAAAGCAUGGGGAGCAAACAGGAUUAGAUACCCGGGUAGUCC
rnacentral:rRNA from 1 species